ensembl:snRNA U6 U6 spliceosomal RNA
GUGCUCACUUUGGCAGCAUAUGCGCUAAAGUUGGAAUGAUACAGAGAAGAUUAGCAUGCCCCAGUGUGAGGAUGACAUGCAAAUUCAUGAAGCAUCCCCUAUUUUC